UAUCAGCAGCAGAACACCACCUCUUCCUUCACCACCACCACGAACCAGAGUUCAACAUGAAUUUUUUCACUUGAAAACCUAAUGGAAACUCGAUAAAGCUUCACAUCUCUUUAUUUUGUGCAGGGUUUGAUUUUUCAAACAACAUCAGGUUGAUUUCUCAAUUUGGUGCGGUUAUUAGGGUUCAUCAGGUUGAUUUCUCAAUUUGGUGCGGUUAUUAGGGUUUGAUUUUACAAACUUCAUCAGGCUGAUCCUUUUGACAAGUUCCUCAAUGUGAAAAUCCUUGAGCAAGGUUGACAGAAUCGAUUCAUUUGCAUUUGGUGUUUGAUGAGGAGGAAGAUGAAAUUGUUUUUAAAUUAUUGAGCAGUGGUUGUAAAGUGCAUCUUACUGGUUACCAUGAUGGAAAUGGUAAUGGUGGAUAUCAAGAGUUAUGAAGCAGCAUCUGAAGCAAACAAGGAAAGAGAUGAUCCCAAAAUAAGGAGGAGAAGGAAGUCGAGGCCAAGAAAUACGAUGACGAAAAGGUAACUGGUUGUUUUUCUUUAAUCCAAGAUGAUGCGGAUUGACUUCUUUAGAUGUAGCCUACACUACUCUUACAAGGCCCAUGAGACCUGACUUUGAAAAAGCUAACCGCGUUCGCUCUUACGAAGUGAAAAGCGCAGCCGAGCUUGAGGAGCUUGAAUAAAAAGGUGACGAAGCCUCGGGAGUUCCACUUUGCAACUAUGAAUGGGUUCCUCCUGCGAGAAAAUUUUUUGAGUUGUUUAACAAGGCAAAGACAACAUAAUCACUUUUCUCUUCUUCUUUUGUGAAAUUAUCUAUCUAUAAUUGGAUACAAUCAUUAUCUAAAAUGUUCUCUUACAACUUUCAUUGAACUCAAAAGGUCAUCACAAUGAGCAGCUACUUCCAAGGCUUACAACACCAAACCCAUUUCAUCACCAGAGGAACGAUUGUCUUCGUCGUAUGUAAACCAGGGACACAACACAUUGCUCUACUUGAUAUAUGAAGUAUUGGCAAAGUUCAUCAUCGGAUGAGCUUAUUGUUUUGUUGUUAGCUAGCUUGGAAAUGUAUUUUUCUGAACUCAUAGUUUCAUCAUUUUUUUGUGUAAUUUUAAACCCAAUGGAUAAAAUGAAUGAAUGUUAAAGUUGUCAUUUUGAUUAUAAAUUUCAGUUAAAUU